UUGCUCACUUUGGUAGCACAUACACUAAAAUUGAAAUGAUACAGAGAAGAUUAGCAUGGCCUCUGUGCAAGGAUGACAUGCAAAUUUGUGAAGCAUUUCAUAUUUUU
rnacentral:snRNA from 1 species